UACAGAGGUCUCAAGCGUUGUUCGGAUUCAUUGGGCGUAAAGGGUGCGUAGGUGGCAUGGUAAGUUGAAGGUGAAAUCUCGGAGCUCAACUCCGAAACUGCCUUCAAUACUGCUGUGCUCGAGGACUGUAGAGGAGAAUGGAAUUCACGGUGUAGCAGUGAAAUGCGUAGAUAUCGUGAGGAAGACCAGUGGCGAAGGCGAUUCUCUGGGCAGUUCCUGACACUGGAGGCACGAAGGCUAGGGGAGCAAACGGG
rnacentral:rRNA from 1 species